rnacentral:rRNA from 1 species
UACGUAGGGGGCAAGCGUUGUCCGGAUUUAUUGGGCGUAAAGAGCGUGUAGGCGGCUAGGUAGGUCCGCUGUGAAAACUCGAGGCUCAACCUCGAGACGCCGGUGGAAACCAUCUAGCUAGAGUCCGGAAGAGGAGAGUGGAAUUCCUGGUGUAGCGGUGAAAUGCGCAGAUAUCAGGAAGAACACCCGUGGCGAAGGCGGCUCUCUGGGACGUGACUGACGCUGAGACGCGAAAGCGUGGGGAGCGAACAGG